GCGUCGGUGCUGCAACGGUUAGCAUACUCCCACGAAAAGAGUGAGAUCUGGGUUUGAGUCCCGGCUGACGCA